rnacentral:lncRNA from 1 species
CGGUGGCCUUUGCAGCUAAUAUCCAGCGUCCAGAGAGUCCCUGGUCCAGAAGGUGGAGAGGCUGGGACAUGGGGUUCUCCCCGACGGCUUCCUCUCCUGGCUGCUGAGGGUCUCCUCUCAGGUGCUGAAUAGAACAACUCUAGGGGUCUGGGCUGGAGAAACCCUAGGCAGAGGAGCAGAGAAGGCAGCUGCCCCAGGCAGGUGCAGACAGGCAGAGGGGACGCCCUGGCGCUGGUGCUGCCUCCUCUCAUCUCCCGCAAGGGUCCCCUCACCUUCUUGCUCUGCCUGAAGCUUCCUGCACUGCACAACUUCAAGCACCACCCCCAGCACCUCAACCCCCAGAUCCCACCUCUCCUGUCCCUCUCAUCCACACGGUCACUGCCCCGCACCCCUCACCUCUGCACUGGGAUUUCCCUUCUCACGUCCUUCUGUGGCCUCUGUCUUCACGCUGCUGCACCUGGGCACAGAACUGUCACCUGAAAUUCCCACCACCGACCGGCCAACUGACCUUGGCGUCCGAGGUCCCCUCUCCCCGACUUGGAUUUCCCACCUUCUCUGCCCUCUGCCAGCCUCCAGGACUCUACCUGCUGCC